rnacentral:tRNA from 1 species
GCCUUUAGCUCAGAUGGUAGAGCAUGAGACUUUUAAUUUCAGGGUUGUGGGUUCAAGCCCCAUGUUGAGUG